rnacentral:rRNA from 1 species
GAUGAACGCUGGCGGCGUGCCUAAUACAUGCAAGUCGAGCGAACGGACGAGAAGCUUGCUUCUCUGAUGUUAUCGGCUGACGUGUUAUUAACACGUGUAUAACCUACCUAUAAUUCUGGUAUAACUUCGUGAAACCGUAUCUAAUACCGGAUAAUAUUUUGAACCGCAUGGUUCAAAAGUAAAAUACGGUCUUUCUGUCUCUUAUAGCUGUUUCCGCGCUGCAUUAGCUAGUUGGUAAGGUAACGGCUUACCAAGGCAACGAUGCAUAGACGACCUGAGAGGGUGAUCGGCCACACUGGAACGGAGACACGGAAAAGACUCAUACGGGAGGCAGCAGUAGGGAAUAUUCCGCAAUGGGCGAAAGAAUGACGGAGAAAAGGCGAGUGAGUGAAGAAGGUAGGAGGAUCGUAAAAAUCUGUUAUGAGGGAAGAACAGAUGAAGAAGGAAAUGUGAAGAGAAUGACGGUAACGAAAAAGAAAGCAACGGCUAACUACGUG